UUACUACGACACGUCCAACAAACUAGAUCACCUGAACUGCCCAAAGUGCAACACAUUUCCAUAAUAGAGAAGAUGUGCAUGGGUCUCAUGCCGCACAAAAAGGUUAUCUCUGUCUGCUAUGAUUCACUACUAUGGAACACGAAACCCCUGUUACCCAAACAUACUAAAGAGUGGGGGAAGGACCUGGGCCAGGAAAUUCCUGACACCCCCUGGACCAGGGCUUUUAC